CACCCGAUAGCACAUGGUGUGCGCCUGCCUUCCUUCACUGCUCUUCCGCUUCGUUGAGAUGUAGGCAGGAGGUCCCGUUCGACUCGGGGUUGGGUGA